CAGGUCCAUCCAUCUUGUUGCAAAUGAUAGUGACUCCAGAGGAAGAAUCCUGUUCAGCCUGCUGUCCCCAGGGCAAUCAAUAUCCGCCAGGUGUCCAGCAUGCAAUACAGCCAACUUUCAUAAUUUCCUGCAUCCAUCUUUGAUAAUAACAGAAGAAGAACACCAUCUGGUCUGCUGCACUUGGGGCAAUUUAUACCAACCAGGUGUCCAGUAUUGAAUGUGCAAGAACUAUAAUUCACCUUAGAACAGUGGUCCCAUUAAUCCACCUCUGAUUCAUGUGGCUUCAAGAAUGCCAGUGCAUUAUGAGCAUUCAUAUACAACACACCACACCAAUUGUUAUUGAUAUGACUUUCUUGAAUAUAUAGACAAGGGAAGAUCAAUGGGAUGCUCUUGUUUCUGCAUGAAACCACUGGAUUGCUUCUCCAAAGUCAAGUGACCUAUGAUGAUAUGGAAGAACAUUCUUGGGCUUGCUGUGACUGGAGAGAUUGAUACAACCCAGGUAUCCUGUAAUAAAUAUGCCCUAACUCCAAUUCACCUUAGCACCAGAGUUCCAGGAAGCCUUCAUUGGUAAAGAUUACUGAGGAAGAGGAAUUUUUUUGGCCAGCUGCCUCUGACUCAACUUUUACCACCCAGGCAUCCUACACUCAAUCUGCCGAACUAUAGUCUACUUUUUAACCAGGAUUAAAGGUUUCCUUCCUGGUUCUGCUGAAGCUGACUGGCUGGAGUCACAUGCACACCUCUGCUGCUGUCCAUUGAGUUCUCUGGGGCUGGGUUUGGCCGACUGAGCUGCUGCGUCCAGGAUCUAGGAUCCUAGGCUCUGCCUCUGCUGUUCCCCUGUUUACCCUCCUCUAUGUGCUCCAAUUCGGACACUUUUGUCAAAAGCUAGAACAAGUUACUCUCCUUUCAAGUGAACAAGUUACUUUCAGGAAAGAAAGAAAGCUGGAAUCAGGUCUUCCACUUCAGAAAACAGGGGCAAAGUUGAACCACAUC